AUUCCAGCUCCAAUAGCGUAUAUUAAAGUUGUUGCAGUUAAAAAGCUCGUAGUUGGAUUUCUGACAGGGGGCCGAACACCACUGUAGUGAGUGUUUUGGUACCUGUCAUCCUUCUGUUAACCCUAGCGUCAUUCAUUUGUCGUUGGGCGGACCAGAUACUUUACCUUGAGAAAAUUAGAGUGUUUCAGGCAGGCCUAGCCGGAAUACAUUAGCAUGGAAUAAUGGAAUAGGACUAUAGUCUCGUCGUUGGUUACGUGGACUGCAGUAAUGAUUAAUAGGGUUAGUUGGGGGCAUUAGUAUUUAUUAGCUAGAGGUGGAAUUCUCUAAUUUGAUAAAGACUAAUUUAUGCGAAAGCAUUUGCCAAGGAUGUUUUCAUCA
rnacentral:rRNA from 1 species